CACAGCACUUCAGCUGUAUGUUUGGGGGCCAUUUUAAACAGCAAAAUCAUCAACAGGAAGCAGAAAAUUGUAAAAAUUGUGGCACUAAAUAGACCAUGUAAAGGACACAUGUUUGCAAUAAGAAAGCUGAAACAAGAAGGGGGAGUGUCACCUUAUUUGAUCCAGCUAGAAACUCAGGUGCUGGUAUUCCAGCAACACUCAGGCGGCUGCUCCAGGAGGCUGCAGAGGGGUCCUUUUUAGGCGUCAACAAAACUGGCUAUGGUCACGCCCAUUGGGAAACUCAUUGCUGCCUUCAAGGACUCAGAAGCUGUAGGAAUAUUCAGGCACAGACACCAGACCCAGCUUCAUCUCUAACUUGUGGCAAAGGACAGUACAUCCUGGGAUGGGACCCUGUGCUCCCCUAUGCCAUUUAGACAGAGCCUGGGGAGAGUGACUUCCCAGGGUAUCCAUGUUGGAAUCUCUCAUUUGAUUCUU
rnacentral:lncRNA from 1 species